UGCGUAGGCGGCUUUCUAAGUUGGAUGUGAAAACUCUGGGCUCAACCCAGAGCCUGCAUCCAAAACUGGAGAGCUAGGGUUCUGGAGGGGAAAGCGGAAUUCCUGGUGUAGCGGUGAAAUGCGUAGAUAUCAGGAGGAACACCGGUGGCGAAGGCGGCUUUCUGGACAGAUACCGACGCUGAGGCACGAAAGCUAGGGGAAGCAAACA
rnacentral:rRNA from 1 species